AAGACUAUACUUCACGGGAUCAUUUCUGUAGUAUGUCUUCAUUAUCUUUCGAAACAAUUCGAAAGAGUAUGCAUCUGCGAUGACGAGAAUAUCGUUCAUUCUGUAGC
rnacentral:snoRNA from 1 species